rnacentral:rRNA from 1 species
UACGGAGGGUGCGAGCAUUAAUCGGAUUUAUUGGGCGUAAAGGGCGCGUAGGCGGGAAUAUAAGUUAAAUGUGAAAUUUCACAGCUCAACUGUGAAGCUGCAUUUAAAACUGUAUUUCUUGAGGAUAGGCGGAGAAAACGGAAUUCCAUGUGUAGCGGUGAAAUGCGUAGAUAUAUGGAGGAACACCUGUGGCGAAAGCGGUUUUCUAGCUUAUUCCUGACGCUGAGGCGCGAAAGCAAGGGGAGCGAACAGG